rnacentral:rRNA from 1 species
GAACGCUGGCGGCGUGCUUAACACAUGCAAGUCGAACGAAGCACUUUGAAACAAUCCUUCGGGUGCGUUUCUUAGUGACUUAGUGGCGGACGGGUGAGUAACGCGUGGGUAACCUGCCUCAUGCAGGGGGAUAACAGUUAGAAAUGACUGCUAAUACCGCAUAAGCGCACAGUACCGCAUGGUACAGUGUGAAAAGAUUUAUCAGCAUGAGAUGGACCCGCGUCUGAUUAGCUAGUUGGUGGGGUAACGGCCCACCAAGGCGACGAUCAGUAGCCGGUCUGAGAGGAUGAACGGCCACAUUGGGACUGAGACACGGCCCAAACUCCUACGGGAGGCAGCAGUGGGGAAUAUUGCACAAUGGGGGAAACCCUGAUGCAGCGACGCCGCGUGAGUGAAGAAGUAUUUCGGUAUGUAAAGCUCUAUCAGCAGGGAAGAAAAUGACGGUACCUGACUAAGAAGCCCCGGCUAACUACGUG